CAAGCAGGAAGGUAAGCUUCUAGAAGACAGAAGAUAUCUAGAAGAUAGACGCUAAAGAAAAAGUCGAAGUCAUCUAGGGAAGUUCCAAGGGGCACUGGCAAAAAUGCUCACAGAUUGGAGGAAAGGAAAAGGGAACCAUGUGAUGCUUCACAAGGAGACAUGGCAAAGGCAAACGACCACAAAACACACUGCCCAGAUUUGGAGCCAGAAAGGAUACUUUUCUUUUCCUUAAUGAACUGAUUUGUGCAUUACCUACACUGAAAGAUGCUGAGAUGUCUAUGACUAAAAGGGAGAACAA